AAGACCAUUUGAGAUUAAACAUAUACAAAUAAUUUUUCUUUCAAAAUGUAAAAAUCCAUUAAUAUGAAAACAUACGGUAUAUGUUUCAUGAAACAAAGCAGAAAAUGUAAUUACUUAUAAAUAAUCUUUAGUUUGAUUCUAUUCUCAUCAUAGCCUACAUUCUCCAUUGUAACUCUUGAAAAUGGAAACCUGCUUUUCCAGUAUCCAUGUAAAGGAAAGGCAAUGAAGAGGUCGUCUAAUUCCAACUCCACUGGCAGCUACAACUGUCUCCAGCUAGAGACUCAGAGGGAGUCAGGAGAAUCAUUUAUUAGAGUAAAUAUUCGAUGUGUAGUGUCAUAAACUAAUCAAUACUAUAUUAGCUGCUGCUAACCAUCCCAGCUCUAUUAUCUGUGAAAUGGGCUGGCAUGAUAUUGGACCCAGGGGAAACGGGAGGAAAGCCUCUGGUCAAAGGAUGCUUUCUUUUACUCUACAGAGAGAUGUAAAAUGCAUAUAAAUGAAUGUUUAAAUAUUUGAUUUAAGCAUUUGGUUUUAUUGGUUUGAAAAUACUAUGUGUUUUAUUAUAUCAGUAAGAAAUCUUUUCAAAGAAAGAUUAUGGAAAGCCUUUUCAGCAUGUGUGAUCCCCCCAAAAAAGAUGCUUGUAUUGUUUUUUUUUUCAGUCAUUCCCAACAAUUAAUACUACUGAGUCCUAAUGAAGAGGAUUAUAAAAUGUUCCCUUACUUGUGACCACUUCAAAUCAGAAGGCAGUAAAAACAUCCAAACAUUCCAAGCAAAUAACAGGCUAAAUAAAGAUGCUAUUAACAAUACUACAACUAUAGUUAAUAACAUACUGCAUGCUUGAAAAUCACUAAAAGAGUAGAAUUGAAGUGUUCUCACCACAAAAAAGUAAGUAUACGAGCUAACACAUAUGUUAAUUAGCUAGGUUUAGCCAUUCCACA
rnacentral:lncRNA from 1 species